rnacentral:lncRNA from 1 species
GUGAGGCACUGGGUUCAAUUCUCAGCAUCGAAUAUAAAUAAAUGAAUAAAAUAAAGGUACAUCAACAUCUAAAAGAAAUAUUAAAAAAAGAACAAUCGAUGUUCAUUACAUAAAAGUAAGACAAGCAAAAAGGAAGAAAACAAAACAGUGAUAACUCCACAUAUCUAGAGAAAAUUACUAUAAAUAAUAUUUUUAAUUAAUUGAUUAUACUAUUUAGAAAGUUUUAAAUGUCUCCCUAAGGUACUUACAGUUCUUAUCGCCCUUCAAGGACAACACAAUAUAAAAUAGUGGUUGGCAAGUACUUUGUAAACUGAUAAAAAUAUUCAAGGCUGUAUAGAAUUUUUAAAAUAGAAAAUGAAAGAGAAACUGUCAACUGUCAAAACAAGAAUGCCUCUCUUUCUCACUUUUUUUUUUUUUUGGUAUUAGAAAUUUAACCCCGGAAACUUGACCACUGAGCCACAUCCUCAGCCCUUUUUAGUUUUUAUUUUGAGAAAGGAUCUCCUUGAGUUGCUUAAGGCCUUAAGUUGUUUGCGAUUCUCCUACCUCAGCCUCCAGAGCCACUGGGAUUACAGGUGUGCGCCAUCGCACCCAGCGAAUACUUUUUAAAUUAAAAGCCAAUUUUCUUUUUCCUUCUCCCUCUUUUUGUUUUAAGUUCUGAAUCAUAUCUAUAGGUAACAAUUCAAAAUUUAGCUGGGCCAGGGAAUGGAGGCACUCACAUGUAAUCUCAGCUACUCAGGAGACUGAGGCAGGAGGAUCACAAAGUUCGAGGUUAGCCUACACAAUUUAGUGAGACCCUGUCUCAAAAUAAAAGUCAAAAAAGACUGGGGAUAUAGUUCAGUGGCAGAGCACCUGCCUGGAAUAUUGUGAAACCCUGGGUUCAAUCCCCAGUACCAUGUGUACACACGCACGCACGCACGUACACACACAC